rnacentral:rRNA from 1 species
UCGAGGAUCUUCGGCAAUGGGCGCAAGCCUGACCGAGCGACGCCGCGUGCGCGAAGAAGGCCUUCGGGUUGUAAAGCGCUGUCGAGGGGGAGGAAAGCCCGCGAGGGCCUGACCCAUCCCUGGAGGAAGCACGGGCUAAGUUCGUGCCAGCAGCCGCGGUAAGACGAACCGUGCGAACGUUGUUCGGAUUCACUGGGCGUAAAGGGCGCGUAGGCGGGCCCUCUGGUCCGCGGUGAAAGCCCCCGGCCCAACCGGGGAAGCGCCGCGGAUACCGGGGGCCUCGAGCGGUGUAGGGGCACGCGGAACUUCGGGUGGAGCGGUGAAAUGCGUAGAUAUCCGAAGGAACGCCGGUGGCGAAAGCGGCGUGCUGGGCACCUCCUGACGCUGAGGCGCGAAAGCCAGGGGAGCGAACGG